CCCCCCCCCCUCUCUGUCUCUCGUCUGCCAUCUCUUCCUCGUCGAAACCAAAUCUGGCCCCCAAGAUCAAUCCAAACUCUCUUCAAAUCGUUUUGGUUCGAGGAAAACCUAGAAACUGAAAACCUCUCUCUCUCUCAGACACUCAAUCUCCCCGACAGUCGAUGGCAGCGGCACGAUGGGCGGCGUCACUCAAUCUCCUUGACAGUUGACGUUGAGUUCUCCUUAGUCUGGAGGGAGUUAGUAUUGGUCGGAACUAAUUAUUAUUCGUUGUUGCAAUUUUAAUCUGAGCCUGUCGAAGUUUAAAGACAUAAACAGACAAAGCAGUUGAGAUUAGAAUAUGGGUUCUAGCUUCUUGCAAACUGAAACUCAGUUCUAGGCCGAGCUGUGGGAGGGUUAUUGUGUUCUUACUGGAAAACCAGGGCUAUGUAUCCUCCAGGUGGAGUUUAUGCUCAUCCGGGUAUGGUCAUGAUAUGAUGUUCUUCCUCCGAUGGAGUUUCUGAAAGGCUCCCCUCAUGGUUUUAGAUAGCCCGAUUAAUAAAGCUGGGAAGUUGCGAUGUGUGUAUAUGAAGACCGAGGAUGGUAAACUUAUUGAGAUUAAACCAUAUGUUCGUAUCCCAAGGUGUCAUGUUGCAGCUGCUACGGAAACUGAGUAUAGCUGAGCAAAAAAUCUAGGGAUUGAAAUUAAAAGCAGAAGAUGAGUACAUAUUAAAGGAGUUGACUAUUGUUAGACAGAGUUUUCUUGUUGGAGAGCUAUUAUUGUUGGCUGUGCUGCUAUUGCUGGAGUUGUAAGGAGCUAGCUUGACUGUGGAAGAGGAGAGGCAACAAUCAAUAUACCCAAGCAGACAUAGAUAUGAUGCGAAAUGAAUGGGCAAAGUAUGUCGUGAAGGCGUAUGUGUAGGAGCUAAAGGAAAGCAUAAGAGGAAGUAGGUUGUUGCUGAAGGAAAACAUCAUUUUUGUGCUUCUCUGCUGGUACAAUAUUCAUGCACUGUGUGGCAUGUUUUGUAACAAAUAGUUUGUAUUUGUAUAAGCUUUUGAUGUCCCAAGUAGAUAGGCAUGCAGUUGAAUGCUUUUCUUCUUUCAAUGUUGGCUUGGAUGAUUGGGAAAUCCUCCCUUUCAACAUUUGAAUGCUUUUCUUCAAAUAAUAUGAGUUGGAUUACUCAUUUCAUA